UGGGGAAUAUUGCACAAUGGGGGAAACCCUGAUGCAGCGACGCCGCGUGAGCGAAGAAGGUUUUCGAAUCGUAAAUCUCUGUCCUAUGAGAAGAUAAUGACGGUAUCAUAGGAGGAAGCCCCGGCUAAAUACGUGCCAGCAGCCGCGGUAAUACGUAUGGGGCGAGCGUUGUCCGGAAUUAUUGGGCGUAAAGGGUACGUAGGCGGUCUAUUAAGUCAGGUGUGAAAUCGUGAGACUUAACCUCAUUAAGCACUUGAAACUGAUAGACUUGAGUGAAGGAGAGGAAAGUGGAAUUCCUAGUGUAGCGGUGAAAUGCGUAGAUAUUAGAAGGAAUACCGGUGGCGAAGGCGACUUUCUGGACUUUUACUGACGAUAAGGUACGCAAGCGUGGGGAGCAAACCGG
rnacentral:rRNA from 1 species